rnacentral:rRNA from 1 species
GUGUCGUGAGAUCGUUGGGUUAACGUCCGUAACGAGCGCAACCCUUGUUCUUAGUUACCAGCACGUUAUGGUGGGCACUCUAAGGAGACUGCCGGUGACAACCGGAGGAAGUGGGGAUGACGUCAAGUCAUCAUGGCCCUUACGGCCUGGGCUACACACGUGCUACAAUGGUCGGUACAAAGGGUUGCCAAGCCGCGAGGUGGAGCUAAAUCCCAUAAAACCGAUCGUAGUCCGGAUCGCAGUCUGCAACUCGACUGCGUGAAGUCGGAAUCGCUAGUAAUCGUGAAUCAGAAUGUCACGGUGAAUACGUUCCCGGGCCUU